rnacentral:rRNA from 1 species
GAUGAACGCUGGCGGCGUGCUUAACACAUGCAAGUCGAACGGUGAUGGAGAGCUUGCUCUUCGGAUCAGUGGCGAACGGGUGAGUAACACGUGAGCAACCUGCCCCGGACUCUGGGAUAAGCGCUGGAAGCGGCGUCUAAUACUGGAUACGAGACACCUCCGCAUGGGGAGUGUUUGGAAAGAUUUUUCGGUCUGGGAUGGGCUCGCGGCCUAUCAGCUUGUUGGUGAGGUAAUGGCUCACCAAGGCGUCGACGGGUAGCCGGCCUGAGAGGGUGACCGGCCACACUGGGACUGAGACACGGCCCAGACUCCUACGGGAGGCAGCAGUGGGGAAUAUUGCACAAUGGGCGGAAGCCUGAUGCAGCAACGCCGCGUGAGGGAUGACGGCCUUCGGGUUGUAAACCUCUUUUAGCAAGGAAGAAGCGAGAGUGACGGUACUUGCAGAAAAAGCGCCGGCUAACUACGUGCCAGCCGCCGCGGUAAAAC